rnacentral:rRNA from 1 species
CAGAGGUUACUGCUAUCGAGGUUCGACUAAGCCAUGCGAGUCGAAUGUAGCAAUACAUGGCGAACUGCUCAGUAACACGUGGACAACCUGCCCUUAGGUUGGGUAUAAACCCGGGAAACUGGGUAUAAUACCCGAUAGGUCUCGAUUGCUGGAAUGCAUCGAGAUUUAAAGCUCCGGCGCCUAAGGAUGGGUCUGCGGCCUAUCAGGUAGUAGUGGGUGUAGCGUACCUACUAGCCUACGACGGGUACGGGUUGUGAGAGCAAGAGCCCGGAGAUGGAUUCUGAGACACGAAUCCAGGCCCUACGGGGUGCAGCAGGCGCGAAAACUUUACAAUGCUGGCAACAGCGAUAAGGGAACCUCGAGUGCCAGGUUACAAAUCUGGCUGUCGAGAUGCCUAAAAAGCAUUUCAUAGCAAGGGCCGGGCAAGACCGGUGCCAGCCGCCGCGGUAACACCGGCGGCUCGAGUGGUAACCGUUAUUAUUGGGUCUAAAGGGUCUGUAGCCGGCCGGAUAAGUCUCUUGAGAAAUCUGGCAGCUUAACUGUCAGGCUUUCAGGAGAUACUGUCUGGCUCGAGGCCGGGAGAGGUGAGAGGUACUUCAGG